AGGAUACACACUAUUUACCUGCCAAGGAUACACAAACCCUAAUGCAUAAGUUUCUGAAUCCAACUAGUAAACAAUUUGCACAGAGUAGAGGCAAUUCAUAGAAAUUUUUUUCACUAAUAUAGGGAAAAUUGCACACCGCAUAAAAAUGAUAUGGAUUUCAAGUCCACCAAGUCAAAUAGAGACUUCCAUGUUUACCUUACAAAGCAAGUUGCGAAACGGUAUUUAUUUGGAAAUGGAUCGUUGUUGAUUUAACUGCAAAUGAUGUGUCACCAAUGCCAUUUUUGAGAAUAGUGUGUAGAUUUGAGAAAACCAAACUAAAUUCCUUCUCUCAUAUAAGAGAGAGAGAAAGAGCACUGAAGUAAAGAAAAGAAAAGAAGAAAAAGAUUAAGGAAAGAAUGGAGGUGGAGGUGGAUGAACGGAGAAGGAGAGAUGGAUGAACAUAGGGAAG
rnacentral:lncRNA from 1 species